AUUAAACUGAGCUAACAUUACUGUGUAAAAUUAAUGUAUAUACUGUUAGCUACAGGUCUUUGAAUUCUUACCUGGGUGUCAAACCAUUGUGAUCCAUGCUCAUCGUCGCCCCCCGUCUUUAGUAAACCAAAACAUAAUUUUUUCGCCAAGGUAUUUGUUUCAGAGAUCGGUUAAAGACCGAUAAAUAAAUACAGACCAGAAGUUCACUUCGCGACAACGCGUGUGCGUCUGAUGAAACCGUCUAAACUUACAGAAUUUGGAAGAACUAUCCCAAAGAAUUGUUAUGUUUCAUGCAAAUUUUUAAGGUUAUCAACAGUCACAAAUGCUUUUACAGCAAAUUUCUGCCUCAAGCAAGGACCAACAUCCGGAUUUACCUUUCCAAAAACUGUCCUAGGCUGGUUUGCCUCAUCUACAGAGCUAUGUGAAAAGGAAACACCAAAUGCUGGGAUUCCCAAGGCAUCAGCCCUCUGUGACAUAACAACCCGUGUGUUUAAUGCCCCAAACAAUCUGAGUUGUAGUUUAUCCUUGGACGACAUUGAUGAAAAGAUUUCUGGGAUUUCUGUGGAAAAUAAGUUGUUGUUAGCAUCCAGUGCUCAGAUUCUUACAUCCAGACCAAAACGUCUGACACCCCAUAACAUCACAAAAGCAGUGAAUAUAGCCAACAUGCUGCUCUCC